rnacentral:rRNA from 1 species
GAUGAACGCUGGCGGUGUGCCUAGCACAUGCAAGUCGAACGACCAGACGAGGAGCUCUUGCCCUUGCCGUUAGCGGGGGACGGGCGAGUAACACGUAGAUCACCUUCCACUAAGUCUUGGAUAACAUCGUGAGACCAGAGAUACUAAUAGCUCAUAUAUCCUACCGCAGGAAGCAAUAGUUCAUGACGCUUUUCCUGAUACUAUGAGAUGAUUCCGCGUCGGAUUAGCUAGUUGGUAAGGUAACGGCUUACCAAGGCGACGAUGCGUAGCUGACCUGAGAGGAUGAUCGGCCACACUGGAACUGAGACACGGUCCAGACUCCUACGGGAGGCAGCAGUGGGGAAUAUUCGGCAAUGGGCGAAAGCCUGACGCAGCAACACCGCGUGAGUGAUGAAGGCCUUCGGAUUGUAAAGCCCUGUUAUUAGGAAAGAAAAAAUGUGGGAGUAACUACGGACGUCUUGACGGUACCUAAACAAAAAGCCCCGGCUAACUACGUG